GACGAACGCUGGCGGCGUGCUUAACACAUGCAAGUCGAACGGAAAGGCCCUGCUUUUGUGGGGUGCUCGAGUGGCGAACGGGUGAGUAACACGUGAGUAACCUACCCUUGACUUUGGGAUAACUUCAGGAAACUGGGGCUAAUACCGGAUAGGAGCUCCUGCUGCAUGGUGGGGGUUGGAAAGUUUCGGCGGUUGGGGAUGGACUCGCGGCUUAUCAGCUUGUUGGUGGGGUAGUGGCUUACCAAGGCUUUGACGGGUAGCCGGCCUGAGAGGGUGACCGGCCGCAUUGGGACUGAGAUACGGCCCAGACUCCUACGGGAGGCAGCAGUGGGGAAUAUUGCACAAUGGGCGGAAGCCUGAUGCAGCAACGCCGCGUGCGGGAUGACGGCCUUCGGGUUGUAAACCGCUUUCGCCUGUGACGAAGCGUGAGUGACGGUAAUGGGUAAAGAAGCACCGGCUAACUACGUG
rnacentral:rRNA from 1 species